rnacentral:tRNA from 1 species
UCCCUGGUGGCUCAGAUGGUAAAGCAUCUGCCUGCAAUACAGGAGACCCAGGUUCAAUCCCUGUGUUGGGAA